GGAUGUGGGUGUGAUCUGGCUGUGACACUGUCACCCCACUGGUCACCAAGGUUGAUUCGACUGAUCUGGCUAUCUGGACAGGUGUUCCCUUUCCUCCCUUACCACUCUAUGUGCAUGCUGGGUUGAAGAUGACGACCUUCCCUAAUAGAGAAGAACCAUUCUUCCGUCAAGGGUAUAGGAGUGGCUAUAUACGCCCCACCUUGUUAGAACCUCCAGACAAGCUCUCAAGGUCAAUUGGUAGGAGAAGGUAGGGUAGUCAGGCUUCCAAGACUCCAAACAUACCCAAAUGAGUAGCUGCAUGCAACAGUCUUCCUUU
rnacentral:snRNA from 1 species